UUAAAGCAAACGAAGUAUAAACACUAGCGCGAGAUACACUUAGCGCGCAGCGAGAGGUAGUUUUACAACUUUUUUUGAAAUUCAUUUUACCACGUAUGUAAGUCUAAAGUUGUUGCUGGUCAAUGUCGUUAGUUGUAUUUCUGGAAUAUACCUCCUAAAUCUCGCUUUGCUGCCCCGCAGACUGACAGUCGCCAUAAACUCCGGUUUGAAGCGGUUCGUCGCGCGAUGCAGUCUCAGAGUCUGAGGCGAAUAAAGAUUAGUCUCAGUUUUGCAGUGUACAUGCGCGAAAUUUUCCUUUUUUCUCCCACGAGAUGAAAUAAUCUCGCUUAAAAUAAGUUAAAGGAGGAAGUUAUGCGACACACUCGUUUUUCUCCGAACAAAAGCGGCACGGACGGAGUCGCUCUCUUCCUGAAACAUUUUCGUGUCAGCCGUGCGGCUCCUCCUGCGUGUUACUGCACUCACACCCGGAUAAGAGUAUUUAGCCCGUCUCCGGGAAACAUUCUCAACCCGUAAAGUCUAUUCUGCACUUGCUGGACUUUCGUUUUGGGAUCCACCGGGACACUUUUCGACUCUUUUCUAUUCUCUGAGGAACGCGGCGACGCCGCCUCGAGCCAGAGAGCGCGUGCGAGGGACACGUCACAGCACAGAGGAGGCGAUCUCGGGCCAGCAGAGACACCCAAUCCACCCCACCCCACCCCCCUCCCCCACGUCAGGCUGCUGAGCUGCAGUCGACCCAACGAGACGAGUUCCUCGUA